rnacentral:sRNA from 1 species
GAUCCUGCUUCUUAUCACUGGCAGCCUGGUUCGUUCGGCUGCCAUCUCCGAACCUUCGAUUGCCAUCCCCGACGACGGCGGCGCCACGACGGUGUUUCCCGGGGCCAGCAUCCGCCUACUCCAUCGAUAGUUGGUUGUAAGUGCCUUCCUUUCCGUCAGAGAGAAUUUAUCUAUAGAAACUCUUGCGGACCGUUGCGCGCUACAGAUUAGUCGUCGUGUCGGCUCAAACGACGGUAAGAACUAACAAGACGCUUAAGAAAGGCGAUCUUUAGGUUCACUACAUUCAAAUAGAGAAAAUAUAAAUAUAAAAAUAUAUAUAAUCAAGAUAAUUACGCCACCGGAAAGGUAAAUAUAUACAUCUAGACCGUUGUUCAUAUGCACCUCAAUCUCCUGGUCGACAUGUGUACAAAUGGCUCCAGUGCAACCGUGUUCCAUCAUGUUACCUUCCCGGUGGAGUUGCUAUAUAUAGGCACAGCAUAUAUUAGGUACCAUCAAAGAUUGAGCAGUACGCACUGCUGCAUUCAACACUCCAAUUGCUAGUGUGGAUGUUGAUGCCACUGCAUAUUAGCCCUUAUUUAGUUUUCAAUGUUUUCCUCAAACUUCCACCUUUCCAUCACGUCGAAACUUUCCUACACACAUAACUUCCAACUUUUUUCUUCAAACUUUCAAUUCUAGUCAAACUUCCAAUUUUGGCAUGGAACCCUAAAUGACACGUUGAAGGAGACAGCUUGCCUUUUGAGUUUUUUUUUCCUAACAGCUUUGACUUUUCAGUUGUUCACCGUUGUGCUGAUUUUCUUCAGCAAACUAGCCUGCCACUACAGUCGAUACUCUAAUUUAUGCUGAUUUUCUAUUCUUUUACACUAACUUUGCACUUAUUUAAUUAUAUAUAUUUUUUAUUUUCAUAUAUAUAGAUAGAUGUAUCCACAUAUCCAUGUUACUUACGGAUUCUGUAAUUAGUUUUUCUAUUAGUGCCUGAACACCCCAUGCAACAUCCUAUAUAAUACCCGAUGUGACAUGCUAAAACAUUACACCCCUCGAUCUAAACACCCCCUGUGUCUGUGUAUAUAUAUAUAAUCUCAUCUUCAAACUCAUUAUAUAUAUAGAUCGAGAAAAAAAAAGACAAAUACCUGAUAAAUUUAUACUCACAAAACUAUCAGAAUUUUUAUGUUAUUUGUUACAAUUAAAAUAUAAUGAAAGUAUUUGUAUAUUUUUUUCUAGAUUUUUGAGUGAAAUUUGUUAGUUGAUGUGCAUGGUAUGUACACGAGAAGUUUUGUGUGCAUAAGAUAUGUUCCCUUCUAAUAAUAUCCCAACAUAUGAAUUUAUAUGUACAGGAUUGCAUGUGAAAAAUCAAUUUGUGUAGUACACGCGAUAAGAACUUUUCUAGGUGUGACCACCCUUUAGCUAAGUAAUCUUUUCAUUUUUAGAACUUUUCUAAAAUAUAUUUAGAAUUUUAUUUUUAUUUUGGACCUUCUAAAUUCUCUUCGUGAGCACAUCAACAUACUCCAACACAUCUGCACCCUCAUGCCAAGAUCUACCCUAUUAAUUUACGUCUAAACUCACAUCUUGUGCAGAGUAGAGGUUGGACAUGUCAAAGACAAAAACGGUAAUUAGGUGGUAAAAAAUGUAAUUAAGAAUAGUAAAAAUAAAAAUAUUGGAUAAUUGGUUCAAAGUAAAACUAUGAUAAUAAAAUAUAACUUGAAGUGUAAUUUACUCAAAAUAGAACAAUAUGAAGGAAUGAAAACUUAGAUCUGGAGGAGCCGAAGCUAAUCUCGUGCGCGGCUGGAGGCAUGCAUCCGCCAAACGCUCUACUCCCAAUAUACUCCCUUCAUCAAAAAAUGUUUGACGCCGUUGACUUUUUAAAAAAUGUUUGACCGUUCGUCUUAUUCAAAAAAUUUAAGUAAUUAUUAAUUAUUUUCCUAUCAUUUGAUUUAUUGUUAAAUAUACUUUUAUGUAUACAUAUAGUUUUACAUAUUUCACAAAAGUUUUUAAAUAAGACGAAUGGUUAAAUAUGUUUAAAAAAGUCAACGGUGUUAAAUAUUUAGGGACGGAUGGAGUAUAUAUAUGUUGCAAUCGUCCUCCUGGGCCUCAAAUUAAGACAAGAGUAAAUUGGAUAUGAUCAUAGAUAUAUAUGAUCAUAGAUAUAUAUAAAUGCCAGGUAAUACGUACUAGUAGUAUUAUAGUUUCAAAAACAAUACUGUUAAUUAACUAAUCUGACUUGUGGCUACAGAAAAAUCGAAAACUCUACACAAACUCUCUUUUUCUCCGUACUUCGGCAAGCACUCGCGGUUUAUUUUCUUGUGGAAUUUUUUAGUAAAUUCAUUUUAAGUUCUUAUCAUGCAAUUUGCGUGUAUUUUUACCACCAUAGUAAGUUCCUGAUUCUAGCAGUGAAUCAAAUUAAACCAGAUUUUUCGGUUUUCGUGUGCUAUGCAGGUACCAACGACCCUUACAUUGUUACCAGUUGUGCUCCUUCACAUCGUGCUUACCAGUGCAACAGGCCACCAUGUGUCCAUAUCGUUCAUGCGAGCACCGCGGAGCAACGUUUGCCUUAAUUAUGUACUUCCUCAGUUUUAUAAUAUAAAAUAGUUUAGGUUUUGAAUAAAUUAAUGCAUGAAUUCAUGUAUGUGUUUUAAUGACAUAUACAAAUUCAUAUAAAUGUUAGUGAAUCUAGACAGGUAAGGUAAGAGAGAAGUUUAAAUGACUUAUAGUGUGUAACAAGCGUGUUGGGAGUACGUAUAGGUCCCGGUAUAUGCGAAUUUCUGUACCUUUUUAUCUUAUGUAUUUAUAUGGUCCUAUUAAGAAGUGUCUUUUGUUCGUAUGCGUCGCAGUAGUUGGCCCAUUGUAAUCGGCUAGAUGGAUCCUGUAAAUUGUUAAUGAUGUACAGUGUAUAUAUGAAGAAAAUAAGAUUAAUUUCAACUGAGGCUGUUUCUU